rnacentral:lncRNA from 1 species
AGUAGUGCAGUAGCAGGACGCUCAGAGCACGGACGCGCAGGUCUAUCUGCGAUAUCAUUCGACUGCUGUCCAUAUCCAACAAGUUCUGGGACCAUUCGCGCCGCGAUGCCGUCUCCACGUCCAGCGCAGUCUUUAGUUUUGUCAUCUGCAAUUUAAAAAAUUAAGCUAUCAAUUGUUCUUGUAAAGGAAUCUACCGGUUUCCUUAGCCUUGGACAUGACGGCAUCAUCGAGGUCACCGGCGAUGAGGUGCGCCGCAACGCUCGGCUCCGCGCCCUCCAGCAGAUCUGGACUUAUGCCCAGGCCACCGCCGACGAGCGAGCUCUAAAUUUUCAUUUCCCAAUCGAUCAGCACAUUACAUUUCCGAAGCGCAUUAUUUAUCAAGCUCGCAACUUGUGGCUGCUGGCCCGCAUGCAUUUUUUGCCAUAUCAUUUUUUUCAUCAUCAUUAUUAUAUAUUACGUAAGAAGAUAGAGAAAUGUAGAGAGAAAAAUAUGUCGAUCCAGCAAAAUAGUUAUAAAGACGCAUCGAAAAUAUAGACUAUAGAGUAGAUCCCAAGCGUUAAUCCCAAGAUGCUGGCGGUAGUAUAAAAGUUUUUUUUUUUUCACGAACACAGCUCUUGAGCUUUCCACGCGUAAAUGAGAUAGAAAUAAUAAUGCGAUGCUUUUUGCUUUCUCGAUGAGACGAUGCGAUGGCGAUGGUGAUGAUGACGGUGAUCGCUAACGGUGUAUGGUGUUACAUGAGUUAUAUGGUUAACGAUGUUGAUGGCUAUUAAUGAUAGUGGCAUUUCGUUAGUUGCAAUAUGAUUUGAAGUAGACAUGGGUGGAACACACAACCAAUAAGUCGUGAUGGAUGGUGGUGACGUAUACGCUGACGAGAUGGACGUUGUUGUAUGAGUUAAAAAGCAAACUUUUUUAUAAACAAAAAUUGCUGGAUAUAUGAAUACAUCAAGCAUAGAAUGCCCAACCAGCCCACAUCUCGAUUGCAAUAUUUAGUAGUGAUUUGCCAGCAGACAUUGAGUUAACACUGCUUUUUAUUUAAAAAGAGGUUCUUUUUUGUAAAGUCAUAAUUUUGUUUGAAACAAUGUAAAAAAAUAUAGUACUAGCAAUACAGCAAUAAUAAAUAAAAAACAUAAUUAAUUUUGUUCUAAAUAGUUGGUGCUAAAAUAUAUAGUUUUUUAAAUGUGCGAAUCAAUAUAAAUUUAAUAAGGUAUACUAAAAUACUCAAGGCUCAUUCUAGUCUGAAUAAACCUGCAACUGAUGAACCAAUUAUAUAAUCAACAAAGAGUAAGUAUAAAACGCUCUAGGAAAAAAAGCAACUACUAUACGACAGGUAAGGGUGGUCUAAAUACCUGUCAGCACUAUGAACGCAAAAGCCGUCUCAGCGACGACUAUAAUAUUAGUGAAGCUUAAAGCAGAGCCAAAGAUCAUUAUAAGCACAGCCAGACACAGUCUACUAACAUAAAGCGUACUUUAGAAAAAGCUCGUUCGCAAAGCUGCUGGUCACAACGUGAUUAAAGAAAUUGUGAAGAAAAAAAUUAAACUACGAAUGCACAGGACACAGAACAAAAAGGGAUGAGAGUAAGAGCGACAGACAAUAUCGAGGGAGUCAAGAAUCGAAAGCUUCACGAGAUCUUGGCCGCUUUCUCUUCCACGGAAGCAUACGUGUAGCAUCGGGCUCUACCUUGCGGGAUGCGCAGGGACUUGGGGGUAGGCUUCUGGAUGCCAGACCAAUACCGGUGUUCGGCGGGGCCAGGCAACUUGUACUUCCGGCCUUCUUCAGGCCCAGGAGCGUGUUAGCUAUGCUGGCCUUCACGGCCAUCAUACUCGCGCCCUAUAGUCAGCAAUCAAUCCAACGUUAGUCUCAUCCGAACGAACUGCCCUUUGUAUAUACUUUCGAGCAUCACCUUUUUUUCUUAAUCUACUAUUUAACUUGUGUGAACUUUUUACUUUGUUAAUUGUUAGAUUUCACGAGAAACAUUCGUAAGAACGUACAUGUGUUAAAAAUUGAGCAAAAUUCGCUAUCUUACAAAUGUUUCUGCAUACUUUUGUGUGGUAGGGACAGGAGGUGCAAUUAGCCUACUAAAGAAACCUUCACCCUCGCGAAAUGCAACUAGUCACAUUGUUCUCUGUUUUCUUUUAUUGUCAACAAUAUUAGUAAAUCAUGCUUUAGUUAACAAUUCUUGUUUAUUUACAGGAAUUCAAAGGCGACUUUUAUCAUCAUUAUCACCAUAGUGUGUGCAGCGGCGGGACCGCAAGCUCCCGCCGCGCAUACACGCGAAAAAAAUAUCCUCGACUUUAAUACUUAAUUGUAAAAUAUGCUAAUAAUAUACUGGCCAUUGACUAGAAGAUAAAUGUUUCAUAAAAA